AUACGGAGGGUGCGAGCGUUGUUCGGAAUUAUUGGGCGUAAAGAGCAUGUAGGCGGUCUGUUAAGUCUGGUGUGAAAGCCCGGGGCUCAACCCCGGAAGUGCAUUGGAUACUGGCAGACUUGAGUAUGGGAGAGGAAAGCGGAAUUCCGAGUGUAGGAGUGAAAUCCGUAGAUAUUCGGAGGAAAACCAGUGGCGAAGGCGGCUUUCUGGACAAAUACUGACGCUGAGAUGCGAAAGCGUGGGGAGCGAACAGGAUUAGAAACCCUGGUAGUCC
rnacentral:rRNA from 1 species